AUCAACAACAGGCUUGAAGUUGAACAACUACGCAUACGCCAAUUUUGUCUGUGCUUGACAAACCUAACUUCGCGGCUCGAGUGAAAAUGUUGUCUUCUUUGCAGCACUCGAAUCUUCAGACUGAUUCUGUUGGGUUAGAUGUGCGUUCCAGUGCUGUUUUGAAUACUGAUUUUAAUAGUAGCAGCAGUUAUGAUGCCGAUAUGCUCAGUAAGCGCCUGAACACAUUUAGAAACUACAGAGGUAACAAAACUGCGCUGCAGUUGGCCAUGGCAGGUUUUGUGUACACGGGCUCGGCCGAUAAGGUUAUGUGUAAUUCGUGCGGGGUUCGGCUGUAUAACUGGAUCGGGGAAGAAGACCCGUUGGAGGAACAUCGAAAAUAUUCAUCGGACUGUAGUUUCAUCAAGGCCAAAUUUCCCACCAGUUCAACAGAAUCGGGAUGUUAUGUAAAAUCCGAUUCCGUUUCUUCUAACUCUAGCAUAGUGCCCAAGUUCAAAGAAUACGCCAGUUAUGAAGAGAGACUGAAAAGUUUCGCUGGGUGGCCGUUGAAGCUGCCGUCCCAGAAACCGAGCGUCUUGGCCCAGUCUGGGUUUUUCUACAUCGGUUCGGCCGAUCGCGCCAGAUGCUUCCACUGCGGUCUGACCUUGAGGGACUGGGAUGAUGACGACUUCCCACCUGCCGUACACAGAGAAUGGUCGGCAGAUUGUGAAAUUGCCAAAAAUCUGGAUGUUGAAAAAAUAAGGAGGGACGUAGAAGACGAGGGUUUCGUAUCGAUCUCGGGCACCUUCAAGAAAGAACCCGAAAUGCCUGUCAAUAUGGCUGACGCUACUACUGUAACUUAUGCUCAGCCAGCCGAUCGCGUGGUGAGCCAGGCUACUCAGGAGGAUAAUUCCAGCAGUAACUAUGGAUACAACCCGACUAUUCAGGCAGUUUUGGAAAUGGGCUAUUCAAUUGACGUUAUUAAUAAGGCGAUCGAAAAAAGAAAGAACGAACUAGGGUCUCAAUUCCCAAAUGCGGUGGCUCUGUUUGAAGCUGUGUUGGAUCAGGAAGGUUGAUACGCUCCAGCUGGACUACGUGUUUGGUUUUGAUCUCAAAUACAGUGUGACUCCACUUCCUACGAGUGCCAAGCAGUGCAUGCACCGAGCCCGUGUGCACCCAUGUCAUCAUGGAAAGUUGCAGGAUGAUGUGAAAUGAUGAAGAUCAAGAUAGCGAUGUGAAAUGAUGAAGAUCAAGAUAGCGAUUCUCUAUCGAACGUUCUACGAAGUGACCAGACUAAGGUCACAGUGACCCAGGACUGUCAGGUUUGACGCACGGAUAAAUUAACUGUCGCAGCUGAAGAGGCAAGGACUGGGAUGUUGAAAAUAGGAGGCACUUGGCUGGGAUGUUGAAAGUAGGAGGGACUUUGCUAUCAAAGCGAGAAGAAAAAAACACGGAAACAAAGAAAUGAGACGGUGCAUAAGCGUCGGAAGAUGUCGGUAACUGGGGGACAUACUGGAGAAAGAAAGAAAUGUUUUAUUUAACGACGCACUCAACACAUUUUAUUUACGGUUAUAUGGUGUCAGACAUAUGGUUAAGGACAAAUUUUAAGAGGAAACCCGCUGUCGCCACUA
rnacentral:misc_RNA from 1 species